AUUGAACGCUGGCGGCAUGCUUUACACAUGCAAGUCGGACGAGUGGCGAACGGGUGAGUAACGUAUCGGAACGCACCGAGUAAGGGGGGAUAACUGUCCGAAAGUACAGCUAAUACCGCAUAUUAUUCGAGCGGCCGAUGUCUGAUUCGCGGGUGGGGGGGGUAAAGGCCCACCAAGGCGACGAUCGGUAGCGGGUCUGAGAGGACGAUCCGCCACACUGGGACUGAGACACGGCCCAGACUCCUACGGGAGGCAGCAGUGGGGAAUUUUGGACAAUGGGCGCAAGCCUGAUCCAGCCAUGCCGCGUGUAUGAAGAAGGCCUUCGGGUUGUAAAGGACUUUGGGCAGGGAAGCGGUACCUGAAGAAUAAGCACCGGCUAACUACGUGCCAGCAGCCGCGGUAAUAC
rnacentral:rRNA from 1 species